rnacentral:rRNA from 1 species
UACAGAGGAGCCAAGCGUUGUCCGGAUUGACUGGGCGUAAAGCGCACGCAGGCGGCCGCGCGCGUGGGGUGUGAAAUCUGGCCGCUUAACGGCCAGGCGCCAUCCCAUACGGCGCGGCUGGAGCCAUGCAGAGGGCGGUGGAAUUGCCGGUGUAGUGGUGAAAUGCGUAGAGAUCGGCAGGAACACCCAGGGGGAAACCAGCCGCCUGGGCAUGCGCUGACGCUGAGACGCGAAAGCGUGGGGAGCAAACAGG